rnacentral:rRNA from 1 species
GACGAACGCUGGCGGCGUGCCUAAUACAUGCAAGUAGAACGCUGAAGGAGGAGCUUGCUCUUCUGGAUGAGUUGCGCACGGGUGAGUAACGCGUAGGUAACCUGCCUGGUAGCGGGGGAUAACUCUUGGAAACGCUAGCUAAUACCGCAUAAGAGUAGAUGUUGCAUGACAUUUACUUAAAAAGUGCAAUUGCAUCACUACCAGAUGGACCUGCGUUGUAUUAGCUAGUUGGUGGGGUAACGGCUUACCAAGGAGACGAUACAUAGUCGACCUGAGAGGGGGAUCGGCCACACUUGGACUGAGACACCGCCCAGACUCCUACGGGGAGGAGCAGGAGGGAAUCUUCGGCAAUGGACGGAAGUCUGACCGAGCAACGCCGGGGGAGGGAAGGAGGGUUUCGGAUCGGAAAGCUCUGUUGUAAGGGAAGAAAGAGUUGGAGAGUUGAAAGUUCACACUGUGACGGUAUCUUACCAGAAAGGGACGGCUAACUACGUG